AGGGCAGUGCCCUUGUAGAUCGCGGCAGAGGAGGAAGAGUCCUCUACCACGAACUCUGUUGGAGGCUAGGAUAAUCCUAGCUUCCAUUGUUAUUUAAAGUCCUUCCAACUCUCCUUCACGCACCACCGACGAUUGCUAACCACUGUCGCCUCUUUUUCUCUCUUUCUUCUUCUUAUGCAUCAUCGAUUCCUAGUCACUGUGCUCGCCGGAAACCGAGCCAAGGUAGAAAUCAGGGCCGACGACACCGACUGAGCCAAGGUAAUGCUUCGACCCUCUUCUCCGCUCCUUGUUCUUCCUUCCAUGACCUGACAUAAUGGUCGUCGGCUGCAAAAUUAGCCAAAAGUCGUCGGGAUAAGGAUCCCCUAUUUUGCCUCAUUCUCUUUUUCCGGCAAUGCUCGUCGAUGGCAUUCAUCGCUAAAGUCGUCAGCCGCUUCUCCAUGUUGGUCCAUGGUAGGAGCUUGACCUUUAGCCGUCGGCAAGCGGGCUGGGAUCCGAAUACACCAAGGAACAAGAUCAUCUGUGUUCGGCCCUUGCUUCCUCUUCUUUAAGUCAUCGACCGCCCUGUCACUACCGCCGGUUGCCUCUGUCGCCGUUCUUCCAGCUGUCGACCGCCACGGCCACAUGAUCGUGGCCCUUACCUC
rnacentral:lncRNA from 1 species